GAGGCCUCGUCAGGACAGGAUUCCAGCCAGGCUGGCCUGAUGCUCCUGGGGGUCCUCAGCACACGCCCCUUCGCCUCGGCAUGUGCUUCUUUUCCGGGAACCCACACUCUGACUGAGUGGAGCCAUCCCCUCUGGGUCAACAGCACGCGGGGUAGCUCUGCAGCGCCCCACUCCGCUGCUGCACAGGGACCGUGGCCCCAGUGCUCCUUGUGCCUUGCUGGUUAAUGAGAAGCCGGUGGGGAGGUGCUGCCGGUGAGCGUAUAAAGGCCCUGGCGGCGGCUGCGGAGCACUGGCCCUGUCCUUCCAUCUGCCCAGAGAGGAGCAUCCGGAUCAAGGUGCUGGCCAUGUCCCAGCUGGUGGAAUGCGUCCCCAACUUUUCGGAGGGGAAGAACCAGGAGGUGAUCGACGCCAUCUCUGGAGCCAUCACACAGACCCUGGGCUGCGUGCUGCUGGAUGUGGACGCAGGCCCUUCCACCAACCGCACCGUGUACACCUUCGUGGGGCCGCCAGAGUGCGUGGUGGAGGGGGCCCUCAACGCUGCCCGGGUAGCUUCCCGACUUAUCGACAUGAGCAGGCACCAAGGAGAGCACCCCCGCAUGGGGGCCCUAGACGUCUGCCCCUUCAUCCCCGUGAGGGGCGUCAGCAUGGACGAGUGUGUGCUCUGCGCCCGGGCCUUUGGCCAGAGGCUGGCAGAGGAGCUGGACGUGCCAGUUUACCUGUACGGCGAGGCGGCCAGGAUGGACAGUCGCCGGACCCUGCCAGCCAUCCGGGCUGGGGAGUACGAGGCCCUCCCUAAGAAGCUCCAGCAGGCCGACUGGGCGCCCGACUUUGGGCCCAGCUCCUUUGUCCCCAGUUGGGGGGCCACGGCCACGGGGGCGAGGAAGUUCCUCAUUGCUUUUAACAUCAACCUGCUCGGCACAAAGGAGCAAGCCCACCGCAUCGCACUCAACCUGCGGGAGCAGGGCCGCGGGAAGGACCAGCCAGGACGUCUGAAGAAGGUUCAGGGCAUUGGCUGGUACCUGGAUGAGAAGAACCUGGCUCAGGUGUCCACCAAUCUUCUGGACUUUGAGGUCACGGCACUGCACACGGUCUACGAGGAGACCUGCCGAGAAGCACAGGAGCUGAGCCUCCCAGUGGUGGGCUCACAGCUGGUGGGCCUGGUGCCCCUGAAGGCUCUGCUGGAUGCGGCCGCCUUCUACUGCGAGAAGGAGAACCUCUUCAUCCUGGAGGAGGAGCAGCGGAUCAGGCUGGUGGUGAGCCGGCUGGGCCUGGACUCCCUGUGCCCCUUCAGCCCUAAGGAGCGGAUCAUCGAGUACCUGGUCCCUGAGCGCGGGCCUGAGCGAGGCCUGGGCAGCAAGUCCCUGCGCGCCUUCGUGGGGGAGGUGGGUGCCCGCUCUGCGGCCCCCGGGGGCGGCUCGGUGGCGGCGGCCGCUGCGGCCAUGGGUGCGGCGCUGGGCUCCAUGGUGGGCCUCAUGACCUACGGGCGGCGCCAAUUCCAGUCCCUGGACGCGACGAUGCGGCGCCUGAUCCCGCCCUUCCGCGAGGCUUCGGCCAAGCUAAUCACGCUGGUGGAUGCCGACGCCGAGGCCUUCGCCGCCUACCUGGAAGCAAUGAGGCUGCCCAAGAACACACCUGAGGAAAAGGACAGGCGCACGGCGGCCCUACAGGAGGGGCUGAGGCGGGCAGUCUCUGUGCCGCUGACGCUGGCGGAGACGGUGGCCUCGCUAUGGCCGGCGCUGCAGGAACUGGCCCGGUGUGGGAACCUGGCCUGCCGAUCAGACCUCCAGGUGGCGGCCAAAGCCCUGGAGAUGGGCCUGUUUGGCGCAUAUUUCAACGUGCUCAUCAACCUGAGGGACAUCACAGACGAGGCAUUUAAGGACCAGAUCCACCAUCGUGUUUCCAGCCUCCUGCAGGAAGCCAAGACCCAGGCUGCACUGGUGCUGGACUGCUUGGAGACCCGGCAGGAGUGAUGAAACCCCAGGGACAGCAGGACCUUCGACGCUGGAAGGAUAGCCUCGCUUCCCAGGUGCAGCUCCCGGCAGGUCCGGACAGUUCCACAGAGCACGAUGGACUAUUACAUGUGACAGACAACGUAUGAAUGUAUUUGUUAGUCAGCACUGCAGGAUAUUAAAAAGAAGAUUACUGUGUCCUUGAGGGAAGCAGAAAACUCAAAUGCCUUAUUGGAGAGAUUUCCCAUUCUGAAAAUAGAACAUACUUGUUCGUGAAAAAAGAUGUCAUCAUCCAAGACAAAUGACAAGAAUCCUACAGGGAGAAAAAACACCCAAGGUGUGUGUGGGUACAGGGCCA